UACUGAAAUUUAUCAUUUGCUGGAGCAUCAGCAACAUGCCAGACCUGCAGAGCAAAAUUAAAUAAAAACCCAAAAUAAGCAGUAGUUCCAAGUGAAAUGUUUAAUUAUGGAGUCCAAUAUCAGAAAACCCAGAGCUAAUUGCAUAUUAGUGACCAAAAAAUUAUCAAUUCCAUCACAAAUAUUCACAUAAGCACUGGCAAGUGGCAACCCAAUCACCACCAUCAUCCUUAACGUCUAAGUUCUAUUUGUGCUAAUAUGUUAUAAAUUUAAAUUGAAAAAAAAAAAGACUAAUGCAAUUCAUCUGUAAUCUGAUUGUUCAUUUGUAAAAAAAAAAAUAGCAUUCAUUUCCAAUUUCAAAAAUCAAGUUCAAUUAUGACAAGCAAAAUAUUGUUGUGCACAGGUCCACCACCAUCACCCCUUAUGGAAAAAUCCAGAGUUCUUUGUCCAUCUCCCAUUUAAGCUAAAUGAAGAUAUAAACCCAAUCAAGGCAUCACAUCCAGGGAUGAAUCCAACAUAUUUAGCUUUGGCCUAAGAAUAAUGCAAACAGUUACUUCAACAAGGCCUCAUAGAGCCCACAUCCUAUCCAUGGGCUUGCCAAGCUUUUUACGUGGAAAAUAGAUCUGAAAAGCUGAGGGGCAAGAAGAGGCUCGUGAUUGACUAUAAAUUUCCUUUACCCAAACCUGAAGUCCUGUUUACCCAACUCCACGAAGCCUAUAUCUUUUCAAAGUUUGAUCUCAAAAUUGGUUUUUGCCAAUUGGGUAUCAAACCUUCAGACAGGCCCAAAACUGCAUUUUGCAUCCCCACGGCCCAAUACCAAUGGACCGUUCUCCCAUUUGGCUUAAAGACAGCUCCUUUUGUUUUCCAAAAAGCCAUGACAAAAAUAUUUGAGCCCAUACUUCACAGUGCCUUCAUCUAUAUUGAU
rnacentral:misc_RNA from 1 species